GUUGCAGGUUAUCCAAAAAGACAUGGAGUAGUAGUACAACAUGAAAUCCGAUAUAGUGCAAAAGUCUGAUAACACUAGGGAAACUAAGAAGGUGCUCACACGAUAAGCUGACAUGUUCGAAAAUACAUACACAUACAUUUCUUGCUGGUGCAUCCCUCUCUUAGUAAUACAAAUAUAUAAUGCAUGCUUCUAUAUGUACUUAUGAGAUAUGUGGUGAUUAAGAGGAAUGUCGGGAUACCUAUUCCUACAAUAUUUCAGCAUCUACCCUUUUCCUCUUGCAGAUUAGACAGGGAGAGAGCAUAACACGGCAAUAUUGUAUUUUAAUUUGCGGUGGAGCUAUUGAAGGGAAAUCAGUACCUUCAUACUCCAUUGUUUUCACUUUAUGUGCAUUGCAAUGCAGGUUGUUCUUCCAAGAUUGUGAAGGGAAAUUUAUUAAAAUGAUGAGGUGGCAAUAGAAGGAUGUUGGUGCUCAGAUUCCAAACCUUUAUCUCAAGAAUGUAGAAUUGCCAUUUUAUAAAAAAUACUCAGUUCCAACGAGUAGAUCAAAUAAACAAUGCAAGUGCAAUAUGGUGUAUUUUUCCAAGCUACAAUUCCGUCUUAUUAAGGUCUAGCAUAACCUUAUAUUCCUAUGUGAGGUGAUGUAAGGCAUGAUUUAUUUUGGCAAAAGGUACAUAUGCUCAUGUCUUUGAUAAAAAAAUCCACAUGUAAAAGUACACAUUCUCAAAUCACAAUUGAUGUCAUCGAAUGUUGAGCUACUUAUGUAAAUAGUAUUUUAAAACAUGCUAUUUUUCUUC